rnacentral:rRNA from 1 species
AUUGAACGCUGGCGGCAGGCCUAACACAUGCAAGUCGAGCGGAUGAAGGGAGCUUGCUCCUGGAUUCAGCGGCGGACGGGUGAGUAAUGCCUAGGAAUCUGCCUGGUAGUGGGGGAUAACGUCCGGAAACGGGCGCUAAUACCGCAUACGUCCUGAGGGAGAAAGUGGGGGAUCUUCGGACCUCACGCUAUCAGAUGAGCCUAGGUCGGAUUAGCUAGUUGGUGGGGUAAAGGCCUACCAAGGCGACGAUCCGUAACUGGUCUGAGAGGAUGAUCAGUCAGAAGGGAACUGGGACACGGUCCAGACACCUACGGGAGGAAGAAGUGGGGAAUAUUGGACAAUAGGCGAAAGCCUGAUCCAGCCAUGCCGCGUGUGUGAAGAAGGUCUUCGGAUUGUAAAGCACUUUAAGUUGGGAGGAAGGGCAGUAAGUUAAUACCUUGCUGUUUUGACGUUACCAACAGAAUAAGCACCGGCUAACUUCGUG